rnacentral:lncRNA from 1 species
GACCGGGACCUGGGUCGGGGAACCCCCGGAUGGGAGCCCAGGCGCGCCAGGGUCCCCAUCCACGAGCAGGUCGACCCCCCGCGAGAGGGGUGAGGGGCAGGACCAGGGGAGGGGGCUGUGACCGGGGAUGGGGACGCCGGUGGGACGCAAUCCGGGCGUCGGCGGGGUAGGGGCAGCGCCCGGGACUCCCAGACCCAGGGCGGGGUGACCUCGGUUCGCGCACAUUCCCGGGCCCUGAGCGCGGCGCCCGGAAUAGCAGCCCCGGGGCAGAGGAGGGCGGUCAGUCCCCGCGCCGCGCCCCCGCCCGAGCCUGCCAAGGUCACCCGGACCCGGGCGCCCGACACCAGCCUGCGGCUCCGGGACCCCUGCGCUCGCGUCCGCCGGGCAGUCCCCUGCCGCAGAUCCGCGCCCGCCGCGCGAGGGCGCCCGGGGCCGCCGCCCCUCCUGACCCGGGCCUGGGCGCGCCUGCGGAGGCCGCGGUGGGAGGGACCGUCCCAGGCUCCCCACCCCGCCCAGCACCUUGGGCCCCGCCGCUUCCGCUCGCCCUGGGGCCGCUCAGGGAGCCGGGACGCGCUGCCUGGGCUCCGCGCAGCCGGCCCCACCUCUUCCAGAACCUCCUGCUCUUCCUGUGGGCCCUGCUGAACUGUGGUUUGGGGGUCAGUGCUCAGGGUCCGGGCGAGUGGACCCCGUGGGUGUCCUGGACCCGCUGCUCCAGCUCCUGCGGGCGUGGCGUCUCUGUGCGCAGCCGGCGCUGCCUCCGGCUUCCUGGGGAAGAACCGUGCUGGGGAGACUCCCAUGAGUACCGCCUCUGCCAGUUGCCAGACUGCCCCCCAGGGGCUGUGCCCUUCCGAGACCUACAGUGUGCCCUGUACAAUGGCCGCCCUGUCCUGGGCACCCAGAAGACCUACCAGUGGGUGCCCUUCCAUGGGG